rnacentral:tRNA from 1 species
UCCCUGGUAGCUCAAUGGUAGAGCAGGAUGCUGUUAACAUCAAGGUUAGAGGUUCGAAUCCUCUCCGGGGAG